UCGUGAAGCAGACGCAAAGCUAGCAGUGGCGGAACGCGGAUGCUUGGAUCAUUAUCACGUUCCGCCACUGCUAGCUUUGCGCCUGCUUCACGAGU
rnacentral:pre_miRNA from 1 species